rnacentral:rRNA from 1 species
UAGGGAAUCUUCCGCAAUGGACGAAAGUCUGACGGAGCAACGCCGCGUGAGUGAAGAAGGAUUUCGGUUCGUAAAACUCUGUUGUGAGGGAAGAAAAAAUGUAUAGUAACUAUAUACAAAAGAGACGGUACCUAACCAGAAAGCCACGGCUAACUACGUGCCAGCACCCGCGGUAAUACGUAGGUGGCAAGCGUUGUCCGGAAUUAUCGGGCGUAAAGCGCGCGCAGGUGGUUUAGAAAGUCUGAUGUGAAAGCCCACGGCUCAACCGUGGAGGGUCAUUGGAAACUAAGAAACUGGGGAGCAGGGGAGAAGAGUGAAAUUCCUAGUGUAGCGGUGAAAGGCGUAGAGAUUAGGAGGAACACCGGGGGCGAAAGCAGCUUUUUGGCCUGCAACUGACACUGAGGCGCGAAAGCGUGGGGGGCAAACAGG